UAAAUUACUUAUUUAUUUUUAUGUAUAGGAAGGGUACAUUAUAGCUGUCUUCAGACACACUAGAAGAGGGCAUCGUAUCCCAAUACAGAAGGUUGUGAGCUACUACGUGGUUGCUGGGAAUUGAACUCCUGACCUCUGGAAGAGCAGUCAGUGAUCUUAACUUCUGAGCCAUCUCUCCAGGCCCCGAGACCUUGUCUCUUUUAGUUACCUUUCUACAAAAUCCUUGUGUGACUUGGUGUUAAAGUUUAAGUCUAUGAAGUGGAUUGUUCAUUAAACGAAUAUUUAUCGGUGGACACGAGGGUACAAAAGCAAUCAAGGCCACUUUCUCGCCUAUAGGCGCUCCAUCCAUCCACCCAUACACCCACUGCCCCUCACUAAUGCUUUUGAGUCCCGUUAAAUGCUCAGUACUGCAUGUUUAAGAUUGUAUUUGGAACAUUACUUUGUCUCUCUGUCCUGAUUGAUAAUCCUCUCAAGUUCGGGGAAUUUAAAAAUUUAGUUGCAUAUAUGCCAAUGACUAACUUUCUGACUCUGAAAGAAAAAACACUGAAUUCUGAGUAUUUGUUUCUUUUCUGGUAAGCCGGGGUUUAAGAUCUCAUUCCAGCCUCACCCCACAGGGAUACUGGGAAUGUCCAAGGAGGUGGAGACAUCCAAGCACAAAUGUGCUCUCUCUACUGUGAAGUCCCAAACACAUGGAAGAGAUUCUGUGCCAGAAGAUGUAAAACAUGACACCCAAAUCCACACAAACAAAACCAAACUCAGACCGCUUCUCGGAGCUGAGGCAGCUGUUGUCAUGGUGAGAAAAAUCUGCCAUCAUUCAAAGAUGCCACAGUUGGACAGCAAUCAGGACAGGCAGUCCAGUGCUUGUUAAGGCAAUCCUCUGCAGAGAGAGGAGACCAUGAGCAAUCUCCAACUAACAUUUGAGUCAAGUGGCUACCAGGUCUUCACCCUUGCUUGGACUCCAGAUGGGACUCGUUGGCUCUUGUGUACUACAUGUUGUUCUGAAGGCUCAGCAGACCUCGGGAUCCCUCUUCUUUCUGCUUUAAAACAAACCCUUGCCUUGGCUGCCUUUGUUCUUAGGAAAUGCAGCUUUAUCGUAAAUGAAAAUGAUCCCUCAAGGCUGACAUACCCACACCUCUUGUCAGGCCAGGGUCUCCUCCUCCACACAGUAAUCAAGAGCAAUAGGCAUGGAAAGGAGGGAGGAAAAGAGGGAAAAGAGGAGGAAAGGGAGGGAGAGAGAGAGAGAGAAAGGGAUGGAGCGAAGAAGGAGAGGAAGAAGAAAGGAAGGGAGAAGGAAAGGAAAACAGGGAGAAAAUGAAUAUAGAACACAGCAAAGCAAAAAGAGUAACAGAGCAAGCGAUGAGAGAAUCCAUAUUUCAAUAGAUAUCCUUUCCAGAACCACGAGUAGACCCAAACUCUGGAGUUUCCCUGUCUCUGUAUUAAUGCUCCCUUUUCCCGGUGGGAUGCAUAAUACGGUCAGCAUGAUCUGAAACAGCCAGGCCAACAGACAUUGCUGGCGUAGUCCCUGUGGAGACAAAGACUCACCCUUCUCUGUGCAUGCCCACUUACAGGGGCUAGCACAGUUUCUGAUGAGAUACCCAGAAGGUAUUCUGUUCCCUGAGUCUCUCUCCUUCCCUCUGGACCAGCAUGCCCUUGGCUACCCUUACAGCAUCUAUAACAACAUGGAUAAUAUCUGUCAUUGAUAGUAUCUGCCUCACAUGCUCUGGGCCAGGCACUGAACACUUCGGCCUCUUUGCAGAGAUUUCAAGCCCUCUUUUGGGAUGUUCCAUUGGUUCAGGGUCCUGGACCUGCUUAGGAGCAGUCUAAUAGACAUUGUUUUCUACUAACCUGUGUGUCUCUCCCUUCUUUUUUGUUGUCUUAGGACAACAACUAUGGAGUUCAGGCUGGUCUCCAACUUGCAAUCUUUCUGCCUCGGUCUUCUGAGUGCCAGGAUUACAGGCAUGCAGCAUCUUGUAUUAUACUUUUUAAAAGAUGGCAUGGCCGAAUCUAUUGUGGGGAGGCUAUUAGGGCACUGCACUGGGAAGAGAAAAGACCUAACUUCUUUUCCCAUAGCUUUUUGUUGUUUUUAAGGAAAGCUUUCAGACACACAAAAAGCACAGCAUAUGUAUAUACCGACCACCCAGCUUCACCAGUUGAUAUUUUGCUAAUCCUAAUCCAUUGAUCCCCACUCCAUCAGCUGUUACCCUAUAAAGCCAACAAGGGGCAUGGGCCAUUUGUCUGUUACCUUUCGGCAGUUUGCUCUUUCUUUCACUGUUUAAAGACUCAGAGGCUCUGGAUGGCCCAGAUCAAUUUCUGGUACUUUACCACAGUGGAAAGAGCACAGGCAUAGGGCUUGCAUUGCUCCAUACGAAAUGAAGCAAGCCUCUACCAAUGGCCCUUCAUUUAAUUAUUCUUGAUAGGCCAACAAUCGUUCACGUCACUUCAUAAUUAUUAUUUACCGAAAAACAAGGGAUAGAGGGGCUGGAUCGAGUGUCUGUGGUUAGGAACAUUGGCUGCUUUUCCGGGUUCAAUUCCCAGCACCCACGUGGCAUCUUACAACCACUUGUAACACCAGUUCCAGGGAGCUGACAACAGACAAAAAAGCAAGUUGUCUCAGGCAAAGGUUUUGAGGAAGAUGGGAGACCAAAGGGAGCUACAGAGUCUCUGCUCAGGGAACCCGCUGAAGAAAUGGGGUUCAAAAUAUCACCCUUCUUCUGCCGAGCUUUGCAGGAUUUUGUGAAGAGGCGAAUGUUGUGGAUUAGUCCAGUGGUCACAGGGCUGAUUAGAGUGCUCUGAAUGUAGGAACUGUGUAAAGAAUAAGGAGUCUGAAGACGUGGAUCAACUGUGCGUCUACACUGCUCAUUAACUAUUUAUGCGACCUGCUUACCACGUGGGCUUAAUCUCUCUGCAGCACAGUAAUGAACUGAUCCGCCAACAUCUCACUCACUGUUUCCACACAUGAAAACUCCCUGAGCUGUCCUGGUUUUCCUUUGCAGGAGACGAGGCUCCUGGCGCAGGACUUGUAGACAUGAGCAGAUCCAUCACCAUUGGGUCUUUGGCCUCCGAGGCAAGGCACUUGCCCAUCUGUGGUCCCUCCUCAGGCUCUGAUAGGACCUGGGACAUCUGCAGCCCAGACAUUCUUUAGCUCUGACCAUGCCUGAAAUUUUGCAAAGAAAAGGCUCCUCUCCUCAAACUGCCAGAGAGCUGAGGUGAUCUCCAGGUGCACACUAGGUGUUGAGCUUCUGUGAGUUGGAGGCACCUUAGAGCAGUGGGUCUGGGGAAUUGAAAACGUCCUGAGGGCCUGGUCCCUACCUCCCAGGGAGACUCGAGUGCAGCCAGGUAGAGAGGCUCUGCUUCAAAGCAGGUGCCGAUGCACACGCCUCACCUUGCUUCCUUCCUCGGCCUUCUUUGUCAGAGUCAUCUUUUUGCCUCAAAGCUUUUGAGAUGGAAGAGACACAUUCUUUUUAGACUUGACGAUUCAGGUCGUGCUGGCUUCAUAAAAUCAAUUGAGGGAGAUUUUCAUCUUAUUCUUUGGUCUCAAAUAGUUUGAAUAACAAAGGACCUUGCCUGGGUUUUGAAGACUACUACUGCUCAGUUAUAAGAUGAUGGACUUUAAAAAGGAGUGUCCCUUUAAUAAGCUUUCUAAUGUAUUGUUAUUCUGCUUUCUAGUGUAUUGUUGUUGUGCUUUCUAAUGUAUUGUUAUUGUAUAUUCUAAUGCUAAUGUAUAUUCUAAUGUAAUGUGACGUUAGUAGUCUACUCGGAUGCUUUGUUUCUUUGGGGGUGUAAGUAGGAGAACUGAUACAAAGUGACUUUGCUUUCUCUAGACUAUUGCCAUAAAUGUCCUAAUACAAUGGUUGUAGGAAGUCCCACACGCCUCUCCCAAUUGGGUGAGUGCAGCUCCUUCCCCUUGUGGUCUUGCAGACCAAGGAUUUUACAAACAUCCUCCAUGCUGACAAUAACCACCAAUGGCGCAUAUCCCACGUAAUUCCUCCUGCUCUACUCGGGAUAAUUCAUUUACUUCUCAGGGCAAUUCAGCCACGGAGGUACAUAGAAGCCCACACCUCACACCUCACACCCCACACCCCACACCCCACACCUCACACCUCACAUUACAGAUGAAUUCCUCAGCCUUGACUGUGCAGGGACGUUAACUGGCCUAUAGGUCACAUGGUGGCGUGCAGCCUGAAUAUUCCACCUAUUACCAUCUGUGUAUGAGAGACAGGAAGAGCACGAACAGUUAAGACUUUCGCCUAUUGUAUGAUUGAUUACAUUAUUCUAGAGGUCAAGUGCAUGCAAUCUCAGAACUCAGGAGGCUGAGGCAGAAAGAUCGUAAGUGUGAAGUCACAUACAUGGUGAGAGCCUGUUUCAAUAAAGGCAAGGGCUGAGAUACAGCUCGGUGGUAGAAUGCUUGAUUUGCAUGGAGCACAUCCUGGGUUAAAUUCCUGUCUGGCAACACAAAAAUUUAAGAGGAAAAAAGAAUUAUGACAAAGUAGGAGUGUGUUUCAUGUGGUCUAUUUAUAGUUGUGUGGCCAGAGAUGGCUUCACUGGCAAAGGGUGGCCUUACAGAUUGAAGGCUAUGGGCUCUAAUAAGUAGGUGGAUUCUAUACUAUGUGACCCUUUUGGGGACCUGGUUCAAGGUCACUUAUCACUUAAUUGCUUUGAAUGGUCACUCAGACAAUGAGAGAGGCCUUUACAGAAAGCACAGAGUGUUCACGAAUUGACACUGAAGAAGCAGACAGUGAGCGGCUGUGAUGGAGACAGGGCAAUCACACGCCACAAACUUUGUAUGCCAGUCGCAUUGAAAAAUGUUCUAGCUGGCACUUGGCUGUUUCCACAGUAAGGCCUUUUCUUACCUCUUCAGUUUGCCCUUCAGGAAGUUCCUGCACUUGAUACCAACUGCUUCUCACCACUCGCCAGCAUUCCCUUCAGACAGACAGCCAUGUCAGCCAGUCAAGCCAAACUCCCAGCACUGUAUGCCCUUGCAUGCCUGCCUCUGCCCCUUGGCUGCUACUAUCUCCACUACCAAGAACUCCCCGUGUCCACUUUGGUUAUCUAAAUACAAAGAAUGCUUCAAGGAAGCUCUGUUUCCAGUCCUUCCCCCCCCCCACCACCACUCAGCCCUUACAUGUACCAGGUAUGCUAGUACUUCAUAUUUGUUGACCAACUCAGUCUUCAAAACAACACUGUGGACUAGGUUUUCUGGUUUGUUUUGUUAGUCACUGGGAAAUCUGAAGUCCAGUAAUUUGCUGGUAUUUAGUAGCUGGGCUGAGAUUUGAACUCAGGCAAUUUGGCUCCAGCGCUUGUCCAGUUUCAUGCCUUGUGGACAGUAUUGUGAUCUACUGAGUUCCACACUUUUCCAUCACCCUUUACCUGAGAGCAAACUUCUCCCUAAAUGGUCAUGGGCCUACUAUACCACCGUCUCCACUAAAACACACUGAAACUCUAUUCUGAAUGGGUAGCGCUAAGUGGAGCUGUUCACAAAGCUUGUGACAUUUGUUAGAUCAUGAGGCUUGGUCACCAGGGAGAGGCACUAUUAGGAGGUGUGGCCUUGUUGGAGCAGGAGUGGCCUUGUCGGAGGAAGUGUGUCACAGAGGGUGGGCUUUGUGGUUUUCAAAUGAUCAAGCCAGGCACAUUGCCUCUCUCUUCCUGCUGCCUACCAAUUUGGAUGUAGAACUCUCAGCCACCUCUCCAUCACUACAUCUGUCUAUGUGCUACCAUACUACCCAUCAUGAUGAUAAUGGUCUAAGCCUCUGCAACUCUAAGCCAGCUCCAAUGACAUGUUUUCCUUUUUAAGAGUUGCCUUGGUCAUGGUGCCUUCCCAGCAAUAAAACAGGGACUAAGACAGAGAGCCACAAGAACAAAUAACAGGUAAAAGGACAGAAUAUGAACCGAGGAUCGGAAAGGCCAAGGUCUGUGCUCGACCCAGUACUCAGCACUACUGCUGCGGAUGCUCUUACUGUGGCCCAGUGUAGCAGCACAAAGCUGGGUUUGAAUGCAGUAUUCACUGUGCUGCGGCUUCAUGGGAGUUGCAGGAGGCGGCUGCCUUGCUCAGAAGCAAUGACAGAACAACUCAGUGCUGGCUCCUGGCAGAUUAAAGAGGCAGGUCAGGUUGUUCUGAUCACCACCUCUGUCUGUCAAAGAAAUUAGCUCUCUGGGGCUCUACAUGCCCCUCAGGGCAACAAGGCGAGGACAGCCACAACCACUUGGGAUUUUUGUUUUUUGUUUUUUUUUCAAUUUAAAAGCCAAUGGCUAUUCAUAGAAUGUGGCAAGUGGCCCCCAUAUUGGGUGCUGGGGACUUCUGACCCACCAACUAUCGAUGCUUACAGUGCCAAGGGGGGCGGGGGGCUCUGCUUCCUUUCAGGACCUGCUGCGAAUAUUCUGGUGGUGACAACUCCCUCCAAAUCUGCUUGCUGACUGGGAGGAAAUGGAUCUUUCUGCCUCGGUAACAGCAAAAUUGGUCUCUGCAUCUGUGAAAAUGAUGUUCUCCGAGACAGCAAUCCCAAAUAUUAAUCAAGUAUCAACCGCUGACUCGAGUGGAAAAUAGAGCAGCGUCUCCACUCAAGUCUUGUUUGGAGCAGAGUGAAGGGUGACUUAGGAGGAAGCCUGUGAAUGGGUCUCAAACCACACGGCGAGGUAGAGAGCGGGGGCUGCAGACCCUGGCGUCAGUGGUGCCACUGCACAAGGAGGCUGUGUUCCUGGGCCUCAAUUUUCCCAUUUCUAAAACGAGAACGAUGACUAUCUGAGUCACCGAGGGAUAAUAUGCAAGGGCCCGUGGGGACAGCCUGGCUCGCAGAGGCUCUGUGCAGGAGCAAGGAUCUAUUAGACACAGUCGAUACAACUAGAAGAGUAAAAUCUGCUGGGGAAAGGGACCUUCCACUUUCUCCUUUGCCGCUCCUGGCCUUAAUAUUUCGGAACAUUACAAGGCAGGGGUUGCUAUAAAGGGCCCUCUAUUUUUUCCCUAGUCUUGGGAUUAGGGUAUUAUACCUUCCUGAUUUUGAUGAUUUUACCAUUUGCUUAGCAUGUACUCAAAUAUGCUGUGCCCAGGGCGAGGGAGCCUCUGUCCGGCUUGUUCAGGUAUCUCUGCUGCCCAGUGCAAGCCUAAUGGGCUGCUUUUCCCUCCCUGUCUUUUCUUCCUCAGAACUUUCUACAUUUCCAGCCUUAGGUCUUAUCACUCUCAGAAGCCUCCCCUCACCUCCCAAACGGAUACCCUGAACCCAAGGGAAACACAAACUACUCAGGGAAACAAUGGAGGAUCUCUUUAUAGCAUCCCUGGCUCUCGUAACUUUCCAAAGUGUUAAGGCCAGGAGCGGCAUAGUAGACAAAAGACACAUGACAGCUGAAUGCAGCAUAAUUCCGGAUUUAAAUUGCUUUUUUUGGUUUGUGACAUUGUUACAAUAUAAAAUUGAGGAAAUGAAAAGUUUCCUGAUUUUGAUGAUUUUAUUGUUAUUUAAAAGAAAUACUGUUAAUUUUAGGGUAUUCAUAUUCAAAUAUUUAAUAAGUAAAUAGAUAUGAUACCUGAAACUUACUCUGAAGCAGUUCAGAGAAAAUAAACAGGUGAUGUAUCAGACACACCCACGUGUGUGCACAUAUGAGGAAGCGGUGUUUGGAUUACUGUCGUAUAAUUUUAAGUGCCCUUGUUCCCUGAAGGAGAAUGACCCAUGGAUGACCAGUUUCCUGGUUCCCUCGAGUUCAGCAUCUCAGUUUUCCACGUGAACACUGGAUCAGGAUCCUACGGAAUCUCACCCCACUCCUCAUGUCAGAUGAGGCAAUGGCGGGGCUCUGAGAGACCACCUAACAGAAUCCUUCUAGAAGAUAGUCACACUCAGACGGGUCUCAGGUUAACUCCACCAGCCAGUGUUGGGGCCGGCUCUGGAUUCUAGGCACCCUUUCCUCUACUUCACACUACACAGCUGUGCAAUCCCCAGGCUGCAAAGGAGAGAUGUGUGUGGUAUCUGGAGUCUGUGUCUGUCCACUCCAAAGAGGCCACGAUAUGGACAGUGUGAGGAAGCUGUUCUCGCCCCUUAGUUCUUGGCCCCACGCAGCACCUGUGUACUAAUAACCUCUUAGGUCCAUUUCUGCACAUCUGACCUCGGCCUGAGGGGCAGGAAUCCUGCUGCUGACUCUGAGCACUAACCAGCACUGCUCACAGAACACGAGAAAGCCAAAUGCUGGAUUCUCGCAUGCCUCUGCCUCUCCUUAUCUUGGGUUCAGAGUUCAACCAUUCACUCAGUGAUCAAAGAUGGCUUGCAUCAACACAUCAAACUCUUACUAAUAUAUACGGGCUUUGUGGUUGAGGUACUAGCCAAUAAAAAUAAAUUUAGUUAAGAACAUAGAGCUUGUGAAAUUAUUAUAUAGAAGGGAAAAAAGAUAACGGGCCACCGAGAAGUGAGAUGGCUCGGCGAGUAACGGUGCUUACAGUCAAGCCUGAUGACUGGAGUUUGAUUCCAGGAAUUCAUGUGGCAGGAGAGCAGGAGAGGAAGGAAGGGCUCCUGAAAGCUGUCUUCUGACCUUCACACACACACACACACACACACACACACACUACAUAUAUAUGUGUGUAUUAUAUGUAUAUAUAUAUUGUGUGUAUACACAUAGAGAAUAAAACAUAAAAAGAUUUAUGCUGUUUUUGAAAAGAUAAAAGAUAAAGAAGAUGGAGGAACUUUCUCUGUAAGUUUGAAGUUUGUCUGGAUCCAUACUUCACAGCCCAGGCCGACUUUGGAAUCCAUGGCUGUCCUCCUAUCUCAGCCUUCCAAGUGCUGCGAUCACAGGAGAGAACCACAAUGCCUGUUCGUCCUUCCUUCCUUCCUUCCUUCCUUCCUUCCUUCCUUCCUUCCUUCUUUCCUUCCUUCCUUCCUUUCUCUCUCUCUCUCUCUUCCUUCCUUCCUUCUUCCUUUUCCUUCCUUCCUUCCUCUCUCUUCCUUUCUUUUCUUAUUUUUCAGGACUGGGUUUCACUGUGUAGCCUUGGCUGCAGACUAGCUAGGCUGGCUUUGAACUCAGAGAUCACCUACGGCCUCUGCCUCGCAGGAGCUGGAAUGAAAGGCAAGCACCCCCACUGCCCAGUUUAGGAAAGAAGAAAGUUCAAAGGAAGUUGACGGUAGCUGAGCUUUGGUUUUGGCUUUCUUCCAUGGACUCCUUUCCUUUUAUUCACGCGCGUGCAUGUGUGUGUGUGUGUGUGUGUGUGUGUGUGUGUGUGUGUGCAUGUGCCACACGUGUGUGGGUGCCAGAAGGUGCUGGACCCACUGGAUCUGGACUUACAGGUGGUUGUGAGCCGUCUGAUUUUGGUGCUGGGAUCUGAACUUGGGUCCUCUGUGAAAGCAGGAAGUACUCUCGGCCAUUGACCCAUCUCUCCAGUCGAUGCGGUUUCCUUAACAUCAAUGCCUUUAUACCGGUACAUCACACCUUUACUAUGCAAGCUCAGGGGUUGUUAGUUGUGUCAUGAGAGCAGAGGACAGAAAGGUCACAGUUGUCACAUACAGGACAGCCACUAAGAGAGGCUAUGAAACCCCACCCUGGGCACUGAGGACAAGAUGAAGCAUUACUUAGUGGCCUUUUGAGCUAACAGAUCUGGAACCGAGCCGGCAUAUCUACCAUCUCCUCCAUCAGGUCCAAACUCACUGUUGAGAGCCACUUUGGCUGAGUUCUAGACACAUUAUCCUUUUAAAAAAAAGACCCAGGUCAGAAGGAUUUUCUCUGUGCUAUAAAUAGAGCCUUCAUGCACCGACACCACUGGGCUACACAGGCAUCUACCACAGGGGCCUUAUGUCAUUCCCCCACACGCACUUGCAACACUAUGUACAGCCCACAUGUACUUCAGAGGGUGACUGCUGUGACUUCCAAGGAAAGUUAAGCCCCUAUUUCCAGCCCCAGAGCCUCUUCUGCCUUUAACCUGUAAGCAUUUCAGACAAUCUAUUUUGUAAACAAACGUGGUGAAUAAUAGAAUUUUAUAUUUAUGAUAAUUAUUUUUAAAAUGAUACUUAUCAAUCACUCUUUGGAAUCUGUACCGGUUUGCCCACUGCUCCUAAAAACAAAACUGUCAUUGGAUGGUGGCUCUUCCUGUUGGUCAUCCCCAGAUUCCUGUGUCUUUAACCCUGGCCAGUCACUGGCAGGUGAGGGUGGCAGACCUCUUUAUGCCAUUAUAACAUACACGAAGGGAGACUGGUCACAACACACCACAGGGUGACUUCUCACAGAUUGAGGCCCACAAACUCCAGCCAAGGAAACCCCCCAGAAAAGGUCGGGCAGCUCAUGCUUGUGUCCAAUGCUUAAAUGUAGAAUCUAUGGGGCAGGAAACUGGGAAGGGGAAAGGGUUAUCAAGUAGGGAAGACCAGGAUCAAUGUGGAACUCCCAGGCCUCAGUUAGAACCCCAUAGUAGGGUGAAGGUCUUAUGUGGCUUUUGACCUUGAUAGGAAAAUCCUGUGGCAGCAAGGGCUCUUUUCCACAGAGCUAAACACAUACACCUGCUUAGGACUGAAGCUGAAGAAGAUUCCAGAAGACGAUAGAACAGUUGCCGUCACCGCAGACAGCUGAGUGACAAGACACAUGUGGCAAAGUGGCUGUAGCGCCUCUUCAUAUCCCGUUCUCCCAAGAAGUUCUCGAGUGGCUUAUCUGGGAGAGCAACCUGCAAGGCAGGGAAUUCUGGGAAAUGCAGUCAGUCUUGUUCCCAUGGAUACCUAACAGAGCACCUUGGGUUUUGCCUGAUCACUAGGUUCCCACCUGGGUUACACUGGGUGGGAUUCUGGCUUCCAUGUUUCCUCCAAUGUGUAGUUAUGACUAAGAUGUUCUGUCAACUGAAAAGGUGGUUCGAACCUCACUACUGACUUCACUUGGAUUCCUCGAAGAUCAAUUCUACUGGUUCUUUGGUCCUAAAGGUAGCAUAACAUGUCCUGUUUGUCUUUGUUUCCUUCCUUUCUGGUGCUACAGAUGGCACCCAGGGCCUUGCACACGUCCCAACCACUCGGGUUGUUUUUUUCUAAGGCCCUCACCUUGUGUUUCUCAUGGUCCUGCCUUCCAUGUGUGCUGUGUCUCUUGGUUAAUGUAGCCACAGCCCCCUGUUGCCCUCAGCACAGCACCUGUGCCCUGCAUGACCGAUCCCUAGUGCCCUGGUGCUAAGUGGAUUAGGAACAAGGGGUGGAAGAUUCUACACUCAUCCUGAUGCCACCCAGAUUAUGGCCAACAACUCGGACAUUUUCACUGUUAAGCUUCUAAAUGAAGCAGCUCUUUCUUGCAGGCACACACUAAUUAAGCGAUUGAAUACAGCAAAGUGGUCAGUGCAUACUGAACUGACACAGAGCAGCUGGUGGGAGCUUGGCUACAGGCUCCUGACUGGCCGAGCCGCAGCUUCGGAGUCCUCAAAGAUGGCUGGAGGAGAACCGUAAGAAAUAUAUAUGUAUAUAUAUAUGCCUGGUGCUAGCAGAGGUCAAAAGAAGACAUAAGAACCCAUAAAACUGGAGUUACAGAUGCUUGUGCACCAAGACUUAUGGGUACUGGGAACCAAUCCCAGGUCCCAUGCUAGAGUAUCAAGUGCUCUCAACUGCUGAGCCAUCUCUCCAACCCCACAAAGGUCAUGUUUUUUUAUACAUACAUACACACACACACACACACACACACACACAGAGGCAAACAUUCAUAUACAUAAAAUAAAUCUAAAAAAGGUUUAAACAAGGGUUUUGGGAUGAACUUGGAUCUCUCUCUCUCUUUCUCCCCCCCCCCCCACUUUCUCCUUCUCUCCCUUUGGGAUACAAUCCCAUGUAUCCCAGGGAUGGCCUUAGACUCCUGAUCCGCAGGCUGGCCUUUCCCUUCCAAGUACUGGGAUUGUGAGGCUGCACCUCUGCACAAUUUUGAGUGUGUGUUUUCUGCUGCUGCCAUUCCCCACCGCCUUUCUAUCCCAACAGACAGCAGAACAGUGGAGUCACCCAUUCUGAAUGCUGUUUCGUUUCUGAGAACCACAACAGCAAGUCUUUCCUGGAUCUGCCGAUACACCUGCCUGAGAUAGACAGGAAGCCUCAGGAGACUAGGCCCUGAAUCUUCAUUCUUUUUAUCUGCAUCUCCAGCAGGGUCUGGUAGGAAGUACAUUGGAUGUGGGGCUCUAAGCCUUGGGUUGUAGUUACAAUUCUGCCCCUCAAAUGCCUCUUAGCCAUUCUUAGCCUCACAUGCCUCCUCUGGUUCAUGUGAUGUCCGGUAUACUUGAGACAGUGCGCACAGACACCUCCAGGCUCCAGAGUGCUGUGCAGGAGGACAGGUGCCAGGGAGUUUAGUUAGCAAGGGCUGUCUACUGACUGGCUUUCUUGUGCAGUCCAGGGAGACACCAUGUGGGAGGAUCCAUGGUAAGGUGCCCAUGAGGAAACCCUCAGUGGUGGAGAUAAGGUUACCCAAUGUCCCCAGGACAGUGCAGAGCGACAGCAUAUGCCUCCUCAAUAGCAAUCUUGGUAAGUCCACACAGUGCCUGCCAGUCUGCGCCCUUAUUUAUGAGUUCCUUUUGUCUAUCCAACACACGUUUCCCGAGUACCUACUAUGAGAACUGAAUGAUAGCAAAACCAGACCAAGCCAAUAUUCCAAUAAUCUAGCCCAUUCAUAUUAAAUAGGUGUGGGUUUUGGACAUGUGUGUUGAAGAGGGGAUGACCAGUAGGGUCCAGAAAGCUCAGCAAAAGUUUUUGUGGGAUUCUAGAUCUCAACUGAAAAAUAUUAACAAGUUCAGAUGAACCCUGAUAAGAAGUCAAAGAGAGGGUGAAACUUCUGCCCUUCACUUCUGAGGCCCUUUCUGUGUGUCACUUCAAGUUUCCAGGGUCUCGUUCACAAUGACCCGACACUAUUGAAAUGUCCCCAUGGCUUACUAAUACCUCCAGGAUCUUCAUCUAAUAGGAGUGAAGGCCUUAAACAAACCAAUCACAAGCUAGAAGGAGGGUCACUUUACAGGAGACACUAGGACCACAGUCUUAGGAUAGCCACCCCUUGCAGCCUGGCAUUUAAGGGGACAAGAGAGGAAAUAGGCUCUGCGAUCUCCACGCUAAGGAUGAACAGGGUCCAGGAAGCUCUGACAGCAAGCAGGAGGAAGGCCUGUGAGGGUCCAGGUCUGAUUUAGGGGAGGAGGCAGUGCAGGCUAAAGCAUAAAUGUUUAUGCAACCACAGCUCAGAGAAGCCCAAUACACAGGCUACUUCUACUCAGCCCUGACCUUGGCAGCAGACAAACACCACAGGGCGCUUCCAAAUCAGAGAUGCAUUUUAUUCUAUGACGUCACUUCCAAAGCCCAAAUUCUUGAAAGACAGGCCGUGAGCUCACCAUAUGGACUCCAUAAGAGACAAUCUUGAGGAAACAAAGUGCAGACACUGAAAACCACACAGCAGAGGUACUAUUCUGAGCAGACACCUCAGACACCAUACAACCAAUGGGACAGGACUGUGCCAAGUCCCUAGGCUGCAGGGUGUUGGCCUCCCUCUGAAGGAGCCGUUUAUAGUCUUUAAGAUUCCUGGUGCUUCAGGCAUUGCCGCAGAGGGCCAUAGCCUUAGGCACUGGCCUGUUCUUCCCCUUUUUACACACCUUGAUUUGGUGUGGUUGGUUUUGAGACAGCCUCCCACUGUAGCUCCUACUGGUCUAGAACUCCCCCUGGCCUCCUCCCUCAGCCUCUUGAGAGCUGGGAUUAUAGGCUUGGGAUACCACACAUAGCCUUUGCAUGCCUGUUCCUCAUGGUCUGUUUCUUUCCUUGCAAACUGAUCUAUUAAAGACUGUGCAGUCUAACCCAGUUUGCAGUACAGCCAUGUGCACUCAAUUUUAAUGAUACUAUCAGCUGAAAAUCAUUCUGUUCUCCCAGCCUCAUCCUUACAUCCUUACAGAUGAUACAGCCAACGGUCUCUGUUUUCUCAUGAUUGCACGGGCCAAGGGAUCCUUCACAAUAGAGGAUUAGUGAUGUGGGCAAGAAAGACCCUAAAACAACCAGGGAGGAAUCUCAGAAGUUAGGCCUAACUGGGCACAGGAAUUCCAGAAUUCCCUGAGCCCUUUCCUCUCCCUGGCUGCCCUCCCAGCCCUUCUCCAAUCCUGUCUCUGAGCCCAGCAGUGAUGUCUGCAGGGAAUCCAGAGCUUAUCAGGGGAAUAAACCUAUUACGGCUUCUAUCAGCUCACUUCUCAUGCCUGGCGAGCUGGGCUAAGUGUGUUGCAUGCAGUAAGACGGUUAAUCCUCACUCGACCCCCUCCGGAAGAGCAUGAGCGGCUCGUUUUCCAUCCCCAGGAAGGUUUAAGCCUAAGAAGAGCCUGAGUCAGCCAAGGUGAGCUGAGCAGGAAACUCAGCUGCAAGCCUGGUUCUGGAAGUUCUGAGGGAUCACUUUCUUCUACCUGAAACUGGAGGUCUGGCUUCCUGUUUCUGAACAAUGGAAGGACUCCACAGUGCUGCAUCUGUUUCUUCUGUGGAGACUAGGAGGAUGGAUCCAAGGUCACACCCAGUGCUGCUGCCCCACCAUACAGCCUCGGCAGCAGUCCUCAUCUGCUGGGCUCGGGCUUACACUAUCCUGAAAGGUGCCAGACGUUGCUGUUGACAAAUGCACCAGGGCCUCAGUGCUCUUCCUUGCCAGUCUGUAGGCAUCUGUUCAAAGCGACCCCUCGGCUGGUAAGGUCAAGGAUUUGAACACAGGGCUGUCAAGGUGAGUCCUUGAUCAGGGUGAUGUGUUGAAGACAGAAACACAUAUGAGUCUAUCCUUGCUCUUGAGCCAUCCCUGCUGAAGCCCAAGGGCUGCCCCAACCUGCUUAAAAGCCUCUUUGAAGACUGCCUCUUUUCUCAGUUCAGCCUUGAGCCCAGUGCAAGACCACUGGGCCUUGGGACACGGGAAUAUUGCCAUCGGGGAGGGAGAGUGUGCUGUUAUGAAGCAAGAGCAGACCACAUGCUUAGUCCCUUCAGCGUGCUCCCGUUUCCUUCCCUGCUUCUGAAUCAAAGGGUCAUAGCCCCAGAAAUCCUUAAGGAGAGACCAAACAGUUGAGGUCGCUUAGUCUUGGGUCAGCCAGUUCCUCUCUGUUAGCCUCCAACAUUAUGAGCUAAAUAAACCUGUUUUCUUUACAAGGUA